AUGUAUCACGUGCACUGCGGUUGCUGCGCUUCAUCCACACCCGCCUGACGACCGCUCGCGACGUGGUGUUCGCU
rnacentral:sRNA from 3 species